rfam:Geosporobacter ferrireducens strain IRF9, complete genome.
GGUAGUCUUCGGGGCAGGGUGAAAUUCCCUACCGGCGGUAUAGUCCGCGAGCGGCUGUGGAUGCAGCUGUUGAACUGGUGAAAUUCCAGUACCGACAGUAUAGUCUGGAUGAGAGAAGAUGGAC